CAGAAUUAAUCACUUCAAUGCAGCAUCUUCCAUUCGCUCCUUUUUGGACUUUGGCUUCCCCCUGUUUGCUCCUUUUAAGCUCACUUUUAUCAGAAACCAACUUCCUACUUGCCAGGGUCCAUCUCGCACUUAGAUUGGUUGGAGUUUACAACUUCGACUUACAUCCCCCAACAUGUCUGAAUCCCCACCACAACCUCUACUGCUACCAUCCACAUGUGAGAUCACUAGUUG
rnacentral:lncRNA from 1 species